UGUUGCGGUGAAUACGUUCCCGGGUCUUGUACACACCGCCCGUCAAACCAUGAAAGUGACCAACACCCGAAGUCCGAUUCGUCGGCCUAAGGUGGGGGCCAUGAUUGGGGUU
rnacentral:rRNA from 1 species